GAAGGGGACAUGAGAGAAGCCUCCCCGCAGGAUAGUAACACAUCCGGAGGUUCCCUGGGCAACGUCUUUGUAGACGGCUGAUUCUCUCACACCAGAAGUGACUUGCAGCAUGCAAGCAGACAAAUUCUCAGUUCACUUCUGACACGAUAAAUUAAAAAAACAUUUUAAGAAGUGCUACAAUUAACCAGGUGGCAACAGAAAAGCAUCAAAAUGUGCCUUUCUUUUCUUUCCAUCUAUACUCAUUGUCCCACUAUGUUGUUCAGAUGUAACAGUUCUCCUUGUGGAAAAAUAACCUAAAUCUUCUUGAACUUUGGGGCUGCC
rnacentral:lncRNA from 1 species